CAGCCGCCGCGGUAAUACAGAGGUGGCGAGCGUUGUUCGGAUUUACUGGGCGUAAAGGGUGCGUAGGUGGUUUUGUGUGUCGGAUGUGAAAUCCCGAGGCUCAACCUCGGAACUGCAUCUGAUACUGCCGUGCUAGAGUAAUGGAGGGGUAGCUGGAAUUCUCGGUGUCGGAUGUGAAAGCCCAUGGCUCAACCGUGGAACUGCAUUCGAAACUGCAGAACUAGAGUGCAGGAGGGGAGAGCGGAAUUCUUGGUGGGGAGCAAACAGGAUUAGAUACCCUGGUAGUCCCAGCCGUAAACGGUGCACACUUGGUGUGGGGAGAUUUAACCCUCUCCGUGCCGGAGCUAACGCGUUAAGUGUGCCGCCUGGGGAGUACGGCCGCAGGGCUAAAACUCAAAGAAAUUGACGGGGGCCCGCACAAGCGGAGGAGCAUGUGGCUUAAUUCGAUGCAACGCGAAGAACCUUACCAGGGCUUGACAUAUACCUGCAAGCCCCCCGAAAGGGGGGAAUCCUUCGAGGGUGGUAUACAGGUGCUGCAUGGCUGUCGUCAGUUCGUGCCGUGAGGUGUUGGGUUAAGUCCCGUAACGAACGCAACCCUUGUGACUAGUUGCCACCGGCGGUGAUGAGCCGCCGAGCACUCUAGUCAGACUGCCCGUACAAGCGGGAGGAAGGUGGGGAUGACGUCAAGUCAGUAUGGCCCUUACGCCCUGGGCUGCACACGUGCUACAAUGGUCGGUACAAUGGGAAGCAAUACCGCGAGGUGGAGCAAAUCCUGAAAGCCGGCCUCAGUUCGGAUUGAAGUCUGAAACUCGACUUCAUGAAGUCGGAUUCGCUAGUAACGGCGCAUCAGCUACGGCGCCGUGAAUACGUUCCCGGGCCUUGUACACACCGCCCGUCACAUCAUGAAAGCCGUCUGCACCCGAAGUCGCUAACACAACCCGCAAGGGAGGGAGGUGCCGAAGGUGUGGGUGGUGAUUGGGAUGAAGUCGUAACAAGGUAACCGUA
rnacentral:rRNA from 1 species